UACGUAGGGUGCGAGCGUUGUCCGGAAUUAUUGGGCGUAAAGAGCUCGUAGGCGGUCUGUCGCGUCGAAUGUGAAAACCCGGGGCUCAACUCCGGGCUUGCAUUCGAUACGGGCAGGCUAGAGUUCGGUAGGGGAGUCUGGAAUUCCUGGUGUAGCGGUGAAAUGCGCAGAUAUCAGGAAGAACACCCGUGGCGAAGGCGGCUCUCUGGGACGGUACUGACGCUGAGACGCGAAAGCGUGGGGAGCGAACAGG
rnacentral:rRNA from 1 species